rnacentral:rRNA from 1 species
CCCUCAAACUGGGAUUAGAUACCCCACUAUUUUUAGUUGUAAAUUUAGUUUAAGCUUACCAGAGUACUACGAAUAAAAAAGUUUAAAACUCAAAGGGCUUGGCGGUGUUUUAGACCUCUCAGGGGAACCUGUCUCGUAAUCGACAGUCCGCGUUAAACCUAACCUUUUAUAGCAAUACAGCUUGUAUACCGUCGUCGUCAGGUAACUUCUUAAAAUAUAGUAGUUAGCCCGAGAAUCAAGUUAAUUAGGACGUCAGAUCAAGGUGCAGCCAAUAAAGAGGUGAGGAUGGGUUACAAUUACAUAUUUGUAAAUACGGAAAAUAUUUGAAAUAUAGUAUCAUAAAGGAGGACUUGAAAGUAAUUUUAGUUAUAUGGAUAAAAUGAAUAUGGCUCUGAAACGUGCACACACCGCCCGUCACCCUCUGCAGUCAA